CGUAGUUUACACAGAUGGGUUUUCCUUGUGUUGCGAUAGUGUGGAAGGCCAAGAUGAUUUGGAAAUGGUGGAGAGAAAGAAGCUCGUUCCACCCUUGGAUCCUAUGCUGACUCAUCCCUGAGUCAGCUCUCUGCAGCCUUCAGCCUUCACCCCUUGCAGUGAAACCAGGGAGCUCUCACAGCUGCGUUCAGCAAAGAGGCAGCAUGAGUCCAGAAUUGGAGACCAGUGAAGUCUAUCAGAAAAAUAUAUCUAGAUAAACUUAAUCAUGAGAGAAACCAAGAUGCGGCCAGACAAAGGAGUCUUGCCUAACAUCACAGAGCUGGAGAAUGAAGAACCUGGACUGGAAGGCAAGUCUUCCAUCCCUGCACCCCCCCCCACACCUGCCACGGAUGGGGACUGGUCCAUAGAACCUGGACUGGAAGGCAAGUCUUCCAUCCCUGCACCCCCCCACACCUGCCACGGAUGGCGACUGGUCCAUAGAACCUGGACUGGAAGGCAAGUCUUCUAUCCCUGCAGUCCCCCACGCACCUGCCACGGAUAGGGACUGGUCUAUGGCUUCUUGGGAAUGGGGCCGCGCAGCAGAAAGGAGUG